GAUGAACCAAACUUGCAGCCCAGUUAUAAAUUCCACUUGGUCAUGGUGAAUAAUCCUCUUAAUGUGCUGUUGGAUCCUAUUGAUUCAGUGUACUCUUUGAAGUCAUCAGAGGAGAUGAACUGGAACAGGACAAGAAUUUUCCCCAUCUUUUCCUCUCAAGGCAUAAAGGCUGAGACAGAUCACGUUUGUGGCCAGAGAGAGCAGUGUGCUGGGAAACUUGGCUUGGAUCUUGGAUCUCAAAGUCCCAAAGAUGCUUCCUCAUGAUUGAAGUAAAAACAAGACAGAACAAAGUCCAGCCACCGGACUCUUGAGCUCUCCUGCUAAUUG